UCUUGUGAUGAUGAACACUGAUUAGAUGUCUGAUACAAUCCAUUCUAUUAAACCAUGGAGACAAAAUGAGGCAUUUGUCCGAGAGAA
rfam:Hordeum vulgare subsp. vulgare, WGS project CAJW01000000 data, contig: morex_contig_2547253